rnacentral:rRNA from 1 species
AGCGAACGCUGGCGGCAGGCCUAACACAUGCAAGUCGAACGAACCUUUCGGGGUUAGUGGCGGACGGGUGAGUAACACGUGGGAACGUGCCUUUAGGUUCGGAAUCACUCAGGGAAACUUGUGCUAAUACCGAAUGUGCCCUUCGGGGGAAAGAUUUAUCGCCUUUAGAGCGGCCCGCGUCUGAUUAGCUAGUUGGUUGAGGUAAUGGCUCACCAAGGCGACGAUCAGUAGCUGGUCUGAGAGGAUGAUCAGCCACAUUGGGACUGAGACACGGCCCGAACUCCUACGGGAGGCAGCAGUGGGGAAUCUUGCGCAAUGGGCGAAAGCCUGACGCAGCCAUGCCGCGUGAAUGAUGAAGGGCUUAGGAUUGUAAAAUUCUUUCACCGGGGACGAUAAUGACGGUACCCGUAGAAGAAGCCCCGGCUAACUUCGUG